rnacentral:tRNA from 1 species
GCCGCGGUGGUGGAAUUGGUAGACACGCAGUCUUGAGGAGGCUGUGGGGAAACCCGUGAGAGUUCAAGUCUCUCCCGCGGCA